rnacentral:rRNA from 1 species
AGCAGCCGCGGUAAUUCCAGCUCCAAUAGCGUAUAUUAAAGUUGUUGCAGUUAAAAAGCUCGUAGUUGAAUUUCGGGAUUAAUAUGUCGGUCGUGCCUUCGGUAUGUACUGGUGUCACUGAUUCCUCCCUUCUGACGAACCGUUAUGCCAUUUAUUUGGUGUGGCGGGGAAUCAGGACUGUUACUUUGAAAAAAUUAGAGUGUUUAAAGCAAGCUAACGCUUGAAUACAUUAGCAUGGAAUAAUGGAAUAGGACGUUCGAUCCUAUUUUGUUGGUUUCUAGGAUUGACGUAAUGAUUAAUAGGGAUAGUUGGGGGCAUUAGUAUUCAAUUGUCAGAGGUGAAAUUCUUGGAUUUAUUGAAGACUAACUACUGCGAAAGCAUUUGCCAAGGAUGGUUUCAUUAAUCAAGAACGAAAGUUAGGGGAUCGAAGACGAUCAGAUACCGUCGUAGUCUUAACCAUAAACUAUGCCGACUAGGGAUCGGAUGAUGUAAUUUUUAAUGACUCAUUCGGCGCCUUACG